CAGGAAAGCAUCUGUUGUCACAGUGAUUGUUGGAUUUGGAUGAAGAAAAGGAAUGCCUGCACCAACGGGCCAGGCAGAAGUUAUGCUACUGGGAAAUGUGAGACUCUCCCAGGCAGCAGACACACAGUGUCCAGUGCAUAUCAGGAUAGCCUUCCAGCAAGAGAGGCACCAUUUGAGACUUGAGAGAGCCAGGCAUGCUCUCUCCAAAUGGAGAGAGAAGAACAAGGUUCCUUAUUGUAGUAACCAGCCUUUUGGUUGAUGGAGGAUAUGAGUUACUGCAGAACCCUUUGAAACCAAGUGGCCAGAGAGGUGACAACUUAGUGGCUAAAGGCAUCCUCUCAUCAGUUCCAGGGAUGCUUUAAUGCUCCCAUACCUUGUCCAGCACACAGCACACCAUUUUAAGAUCAUCAGAAUGGUUUCUCAUCAGGGGAAUUCAUGAAAGAGUAUACCAUUUCCCCAACUCUCUGUGCUCCAUUCUUUUCAGAGAGCAGGGAACUUAAGUAAUCCUAGCAACCUUAGUCAUAAUGGAACAGUCCAUUGUUAGGCAAUUCCACUGCAUGCAGAAACUUCUGCUCAGAAUUAUGGAGCUGGGAAUAUUCAGCCAGUUGAUGUCACUUGAUUUGGGGUAAUUGACAGGCCUGUGUUUUUCACUGGUUUUAAUUUUUACAAGAGUAUCAAGAGCAUAUGGAGCUUUGAAUGGGAGCAUUUAUUGAAAUACAUAAAAACUCAACUAAAUAAAUGACUGGAUGAACAAAUCUGUAGGAGUUAUUCUUCUCCCCUCACUGUACACCAACAUUCCUUGCACCUGCCAUUUUUGCUUUUUAAACAGAGUCCUCCAUACAUAUCACACAUUGCUUUAGGGAAAAACCACAAACUAAAAUGAAAAAGAUAAGUAAGGCAUAACAGAGAGGAAGCGACAAACUCUGAAGGGUUACAAUUACUCUUUCAUGAGCUGCUCCAUUCCGUGCUACUCUGCAGGAGGUAGAUGGGAGUGGAGUAGGUAGGCAAAGGAAUAUGUGUACAGGUCAGAGAGAAGAGCUGAAUGAGCAGGUAGGGUGGUUGUAAAACCAGGGGAGCAAGUUUGAAUAGAGGGAGGUAGGAAGCUAGAUGGGGCCAAUAUGACCUAGCUUCCCUAAAAAUGUCUCUCACUGCAGCAUUCUGGACCUCCUGGUUCCUAACAAGUAGUCCAUGGACUACCGGUAGCCCAGAGAGCUGUUUGGUUGCAUUGUGCUGGCUCUCAUCGAUUUCCAACAGCUCUGUAUAAAAACCUAGCAACUGGCAGUUCUAUGGUAAUCAUUAUUAAACCAGAAUAGCUCUGCUAUUCAGCUGUAAGAUCUGGUACUACCACUGGCAAGAAGAGUGACAAAGCAGCACUUCAGGAGACACAGACUGACCAAAAUAGUUGCUCUGUUUAGCUUUUGACAACAUGGAGAGGUAGCUUUGGGUGGUGCAUAUGUGCUCUUAUAACAGUGCUGUGUGAUUAGCAUUUAACCCAGGGAAAUUUUUAACUUAACAAUUGGACAUAGUUUGCUGCCCUGCCCUCCACUCCCCAUCAAAUUGCAAAAGUCGGCUUGUACAAGAUUGUCUGAAGGUGCCUCUGAGAUAACCAGCGAGAAGAAUUUAUUUAUCCUCACUCAUAUCCCCACUCUCAGUUUCUUUGACUUCAGAAGAAGGGGCAGUAGGUCAUUCUCUCAGGACUGUACAGAAGCUAAGUUAUCUCAACUAGCAGCUGAUAAAGACUGUGCAGCAGUGCUGGUUUAUUUUGGAGAGGGAUAAUUUACACAAGAUUUUGCCCUGGGUCAGAUGGAAAUCUUUGCAUUUCCAAAAUACAAUUUUACUUUGGGAAGCAAAAAUAACUCAAGCUGUUAAAACUCAAAACAGUCUCAAGUCUACCUCCCUAUAUUUGGACGUAGAAUGGAGGAGUACAGACAAACAACUGUAUAGCAAAAGGCUCCAAAUACAGUUCUGAAUAUGCCUCUAAAGAACUUAAAGAGUCCCUUGCCAUUAAUGUCCAUUUUCCAUAUCAAAGUAUACUCAGUUUACAAGGGGGGUGGGGGGAGACUCCUCUACUGCCCUCAAUUGCUUUCAGACCUUCAAGUUCAAACUGGGAUCUGAGUCAAGCUAACUUCUUCUUGGGCAUCAUGGCCUACAAGAGUUCUGCAGGCCAAAUCCAGCCUCCAGUGAUAUCUGUGCAACCUCAUUAACUUCACUGAUUGGAACUUAGUAAAAACAAUUCUGCUGAAAAUGCACAAACAGAAAGAGAAUCUGAUUCACAGAAGAUCAAAUAUGGAAGAAACUUCAGGUCAUCUAGUCUAACCCCCUGUUCAAAGCAGGACCAACCCCACCUAAAUCAUCCCAGCCGGGGCUUUG